rnacentral:tRNA from 1 species
GGCCGCGUAGCUCAGCUGGUAGAGCAUACGCGUACAAAGCGUAGGCGGCGUCCAUGCAUGAGGGUUCGAAUCCCACCGAGGCUA